rnacentral:rRNA from 1 species
UACGGGGGGGGCAAGCGUUGUUCGGAUUUACUGGGCGGAAAGGGCGCGUAGGCGGUGCGGUAAGUCACUUGUGAAAUCUCUGAGCUUAACUCAGAACGGCCAAGUGAUACUGCAGUGCUAGAGUGCGGAAGGGGCAAUCGGAAUUCUUGGUGUAGCGGUGAAAUGCGUAGAUAUCAAGAGGAACACCUGAGGUGAAGACGGGUUGCUGGGCCGACACUGACGCUGGAGCGCGAAAGCCAGGGGAGCAAACGGG